rnacentral:rRNA from 1 species
UACGUAGGAGGCGAGCGUUGUCCGGAUUUACUGGGCGUAAAGCGCGCGCAGGCGGCACUUCAAGUAAGGUGUGAAAUCUCCCUGCUCAACGGGGAGGGUGCACUUUAGACUGAGGAGCUAGAGGACGGUAGAGGGGGGUGGAAUUGCCGGUGUAGUGGUGAAAUUCGUAGAUAUCGGGAGGAACACCGGUGGCGAAGGCGGCGACCUGGGUAGAUACUGACGCUGAGGUGCGAAAGCGUGGGGAGCAAACAGG